rnacentral:misc_RNA from 1 species
GAUGAAGAACGUAGUGAAAUGCGAUAAGUAAUGUGAAUUGCAGAAUUCAGUGAAUCAUCGAAUCUUUGAACGCACAUUGCGCCCGCCAGUAUUCUGGCGGGCAUGCCUGUUCGAGCGUCAUUUCAACCAUCAAGCCCCAGGCUUGUGUUGGGGACCUGCGGCUGCCGCAGGCCCUGAAAACCAGUGGCGGGCUCGCUGUCACACCGGGCGUAGUAGAUUUUAUCUCGCUCAGGGCGUGCUGCGGGUUCCGGCCGUUAAAAAGCCUUUUUUACCCAAGGUUGACCUCGGAUCAGGUAGGAAGACCCGCUGAACUUAAGCAUACAAAUAAGCGGAGGA